rnacentral:rRNA from 1 species
AGCAGCCGCGGUAAUUCCAGCUCCAAUAGCGUAUAUUAAAGUUGUUGCAGUUAAAAAGCUCGUAGUUGAAUUUCGGAAUCUGUCAGUUGGUCGGGCUUAAUUGUUCGCACUGACUUGAUGGAUUUCUACCUUCUGAAUAACCAGCAUGCUAUUAAGUUAGUGCGUUGGGGAAGCAGAUCUAUUACCUUGAAAAAAUUAGAGUGCUCAAAGCAAGCUAGUGCUUGAAUAGAUUAGCAUGGAAUAAUAAAAUAGGACGGCAUGGUUCUAUUUUGUUGGUUUCUAGGAUCACCGUAAUGAUUAAUAGGGAUAGUUGGGGGCAUUAGUAUUCAAUUGUCAGAGGUGAAAUUCUUGGAUUUAUUGAAGACUAACUUCUGCGAAAGCAUUUGCCAAGGAUGUUUU